UACGGAGGGUGCGAGCGUUGUCCGGAAUCAUUGGGCGUAAAGGGCGCGUAGGUGGCGGGACAAGCGUGCGGUGAAAGCCUGGGGCUCAACCCCGGGUCGGCCGUGCGAACUGUUUUGCUUGAGCACUGUAGAGGCAGGCGGAAUUCCGGGUGUAGCGGUGGAAUGCGUAGAGAUCCGGAAGAACACCGGUGGCGAAGGCGGCCUGCUGGGCAGUGGCUGACACUGAGGCGCGACAGCGUGGGGAGCAAACAGG
rnacentral:rRNA from 1 species